rnacentral:rRNA from 2 species
CGUAAAACUCUGUUGUUAGGGAAGAACAAAUUUGUUAGUAACUGAACAAGUCUUGACGGUACCUAACCAGAAAGCCACGGCUAACUACGUGCCAGCAGCCGCGGUAAUACGUAGGUGGCAAGCGUUAUCCGGAAUUAUUGGGCGUAAAGCGCGCGUAGGCGGUUUCUUAAGUCUGAUGUGAAAGCCCACGGCUCAACCGUGGAGGGUCAUUGGAAACUGGGGAACUUGAGUGCAGAAGAGGAGAGUGGAAUUCCAUGUGUAGCGGUGAAAUGCGCAGAGAUAUGGAGGAACACCAGUGGCGAAGGCGGCUCUCUGGUCUGUAACUGACGCUGAUGUGCGAAAGCGUGGGGAUCAAACAGGAUUAGAUACCCUGGUAGUCCACGCCGUAAACGAUGAGUGCUAAGUGUUAGGGGGGUUUCCGCCCCUUAGUGCUGCAGCUAACGCAUUAAGCACUCCGCCUGGGGAGUACGACCGCAAGGUUGAAACUCAAAGGAAUUGACGGGGACCCGCACAAGCGGUGG